GGGGGUGGGGCUCGCAUUCUUCCUCUUGAAUUUUUGACAGGAAAAUUGUGCUUCGGGAAAGAUGGAAUGUCAUUCCCAUGUAGUUCGCUCCUCCAUCUCAGCUCCUCCAUGAUGAUGCGGCAGCCUCACUUCCUGACAAGCUACAGACCAGACCAGUAUCCCACUAUCAGUCUUCGGGCCCAGGAAUCGAGGACCCUCGCCCUACGGGAGAUGCAAAGCCACAGACAAAAGGCCAAAGGUAGAUUAGAAUGACUAGCUUCAUAAAAGC
rnacentral:lncRNA from 1 species